GACGAACGCUGGCGGCGUGCUUAACACAUGCCAGUCGAACGGAAAGGCCCUGCUUUUGUGGGGUGCUCGAGUGGCGAACGGGUGAGUAACACGUGAGUAACCUGCCCUUGACUUUGGGAUAACUUCAGGAAACUGGGGCUAAUACCGGAUAGGAGCUCCUGCUGCAUGGUGGGGGGUGGAAAGUUUCGGCGGUUGGGGAUGGACGCGCGGCUUAUCAGCUUGUUGGUGGGGUAGUGGCUUACCAAGGCUUUGACGGGUAGCCGGCCUGAGAGGGUGACCGGCCACAUUGGGACUGAGAUAGGGCCCAGAGUCCUACGGGAGGCAGCAGUGGGGAAUAUUGCACAAUGGGCGGAAGCCUGAUGCAGCAACGCCGCGGGCGGGAUGACGGCCUUCGGGUUGUAAACCGCUUUCGCCUGUGACGAAGCGUGAGUGACGGUAAUGGGUAAAGAAGCACCGGCUAACUACGUG
rnacentral:rRNA from 1 species